rnacentral:rRNA from 1 species
GUGAGGAAUUUUCCGCAAUGGGCGAAAGCCUGACGGAGCAAUGCCGCGUGAAGGAUGAAGGCCUAUGGGUUGUAAACUUCUUUUCUCAGAAAAGAAUUAUGACGGUAUCUGAGGAAUAAGCAUCGGCUAACUCUGUGCCAGCAGCCGCGGUAAGAAAGAGGAUGCAAGCGUUAUCCGGAAUGAUUGGGCGUAAAGCGUCAGUAGGUUGUUUAAAAAGUAUUCUGUCAAAGAUUAGGGCUUAACCCUAGAUAGGCAGAAUAAACUUUUAAGCUAGAGUUUGGUAGAGGCAGAGGGAAUUCCCGGUGGAGCGGUGAAAUGCGUAGAUAUCGGGAGGAACACCAAAGGCGAAGGCACUCUGCUGGGCCAAUACUAACACUGAGAGACGAAAGCGAGGGGAGCAAAUGGGAUUAGAAAUCCGUGUAGUCC